AGUAGGUGACCUGCGGAAGGAUCAUUGUCGAAACCUGCAAAAGCAGACCGCGAACACGUUCACUAAAACAACCCCGGCGGCGCGGAGCGGGGGCGACCCCGCGACGCGUCCCCCUAACAAACUCGGGCGCGGAAUGCGCCAAAGAAAACAAAAUGGAGCGCUCCCCUCCCCCCACGCGCCCCGUCCGCGGGGCGAAUCGGGGGAAAGGGACGCCUAUCGAAUGUCUAAACGACUCUCGGCAACGGAUAUCUCGGCUCUCACAUCGAUGAAGAACGUAGCGAAAUGCGAUACUUGGUGUGAAUUGCAGAAUCCCGUGAACCAUCGAGUCUUUGAACGCAAGUUGCGCCCGAAGCCAUUAGGCCGAGGGCACGCCUGCCUGGGCGUCACGCAUCGCGUCGCCCCCUCACCCCCCGCCUCGGGGGGUGCCGGGGGCGGAGAUUGGCCCCCCGGGCGCACCGAUGCUCGCGGUCGGCCCAAACCCGAAUCCGCCGUCGACGCACGUCGCGAUCAGUGGUGGUUGAACACUCAACUCUCGUGCUGUCGCACCACGUCGCGUCGUCGGUCCGGAGACCUCAGACCCAACGGAGCGAUCCUCGAAUAGCGCCCACGACCGCGACCCCAGGUCACGCGGGAUCACCCGCUGA
rnacentral:rRNA from 1 species